rnacentral:rRNA from 1 species
AGUGAACGCUGGCGGUAGGCCUAACACAUGCAAGUCGAACGGCAGCACAGUAAGAGCUUGCUCUUACGGGUGGCGAGUGGCGGACGGGUGAGGAAUACAUCGGAAUCUACUUUUUCGUGGGGGAUAACGUAGGGAAACUGACGCUAAUACCGCAUACGACCUACGGGUGAAAGCAGGGGAUCUUCGGACCUUGCGCGAUUGAAUGAGCCGAUGUCGGAGUAGCUAGUUGGCGGGGUAAAGGCCCACCAAGGCGACGCUCCGUAGCUGGUCUGAGAGGAUGAUCAGCCACACUGGAACUGAGACACGGUCCAGACUCCUACGGGAGGCAGCAGUGGGGAAUAUUGGACAAAGGGCGCAAGCCUGAUCCAGCCACACCGCGUGGGUGAAGAAGGCCUUCGGGUUGUAAAGCCCUUUUGUUGGGAAAGAAAAGAAGCAGGUUAAUCCCCCGCUGUUCUGACGGUACCCAAAGAAUAAGCAACGGCUAACUUCGUG